CAGCAUUCACAUCAGCAAAAUAAUUCCCACUUCUCUGUGGUUCUGUUCAUUUUUGUUUUCUUCUGUAAUUUUUGAAACUGGGCAACUUCUCGGAAGAUGCAUCAUCUAGGCGGCUCAUAGCUGUAAGAGACCUAAACCUCAAUUCAACAAUGAAGAAACUCAUUGCUUCACAGAUCCACAGAUCCACAAAUCCAAAGGUUCGUGGAUUGCCACCUUCAAAGCACCUCAGUCCAGUGGCCCAGCGAUCCAUGCAGCCGUGUUCUCCUUCAAGCCUUGCUUCAUGCACAAGCUGGCUCAUCUCAGAGGAGCAGAAUUAAAAUUAAAAACAGAAUUAGACAGAAUUUAGGCUGCAGUGACCAGCCUAAAAAGGUGGAGGUGAUGCCCAUGUCCAUCGAUAGACGAAUGUAUAAACAACAUGUGAUGUAUAUGGCCAGGUGUGGUGGUGUGCGCCUGUAGUCCCUGCUGCUCCAGAGGCUGAGGCAGGAGGAUCGCUUGUGCCAGGAGUUCAAGACCAGCUUGGGCAACAUGGUGAGACCCCAUCUGAUUUUCCAGAGGAAAACUAACCCAGGGAAGCAGGGAGGAGAG
rnacentral:lncRNA from 1 species